rnacentral:tRNA from 1 species
GGAGGAGUGGCCGAGUGGCCGAUGGCGGCGGUCUUGAAAACCGUUGUACCGCAAGGUACCGUGGGUUCGAAUCCUACCUCCUCCGCCA